AGAGAAGUGAGCAGCAGCAGCAGCACAGAUGACACAAGGAAGUCGGGAAAUCGAUCCCUCGCCCUCUAGCUGUCAGGAGGUACCGAGAUGACCGUACAUCGAGAUGACAGCGGCAGAGGAAAAGAGGAAAAGCAAGGAGUGCAUGCUGCAGCUCCAGGGUGAAGGCAGUCAGAGGUGUCUCUUCUGAAACAGGCAGGACUGUCACAGUGGAGAGGUUGGAGGCUUGGUUUCCCGCAUCCCAUUUACUUCCUGGAGUGUGGAGGGCCAAACUGCGAGCUGUGGACGUGUUACAGG